CGGGGCGUAGCGUAGCCUGGUAUGCGCGCUUGCUUGGGGUGCAAGAGGUCGUGAGUUCGAAUCUCACCGCCCCGACCA
rnacentral:tRNA from 2 species